GCGCCCCCCAAUAUAUGCAAGGCUGAGCGAAUUGGAUUUAGAGCUUUGCUCUUUAUGAAGUUUGCGGCGGACGGGUGAGAUACACGUUGGGUUACCUUGCCCAUAGACUGGGAUACUCCGGGAAACCGGGGCUAUACCGGAUACAUUUUGAACCGCAUGGUUCGAAAUUGAAAGGCGGCUUCGGCUGUCACUUAUGGAUGGACCCGCGUCGCAUUAGCUAGUUGGUGAGGUAACGGCUCACCAAGGCAACGAUGCGUAGCCGACCUGAGAGGGUGAUCGGCCACACUGGGACUGAGACACGGCCCAGACUCCUACGGGAGGCAGCAGUAGGGAAUCUUCCGCAAUGGACGAAAGUCUGACGGGAGGGCAAACCCCCCCCGGCUUUGAAGUGGAAAGGAAAAGGCCCUUUUCCGGGGUUCGGUAAAAAACCCUCCGGUUUGGGUUAAGGGGAAAGGAAACCAAAGGUCCCUAGGUUUGAAAUAAAGGCUGGGCACCCCUUGACCCGGUACCCUUAACCCCAGGAAAAGGCCACCGGCGUAAAUUACCGUUGCCAGGCAAGCCCGCCGGGUAAAUAACGUAAGGGUGGGCAAAGGCGGUUAUUUCCCGGAAAUUUAUUUGGGGCGGUAAAAGCGCCGGCGGCCAGGGUGGGUUUUCCUUAAAGGUCUGAAUGUGAAAAGCCCCACCGGCUUCAAACCCGUGGAGGGGUUCAUUUGGAAAACUUGGGAGGACCUUGAGGUGCAGAAAGAAGGAAAAGUGGAAAUUUCCAUGUUGUAAGCGGGUGAAAAUGCCGUAGAGAAUAAUGGAAGAAACACCCAGUGGGCGAAAGGCGGACCUUUCUUGGUCUUGUAAACUGACAACUGAGGGCGCGAAAAGCGUGGGGAAGCAAAACAAGGAUUAGAUUACCCUGGUAGUCCACCGCCGUAAAACGAUGAAGUUGCUAAAGUGUUAGAAGGGUUUCCGCCCUUUAAGUGCUGAAAGUUAAACGCAUUAAAGCACUCCGCCUGGGGAAUAUCGGCCGCAAAGGCUGAAAACUCAAAAGGAAAUUGACGGGGGCCCGCACAAAGCGGUGGAAGCAUGUGGUUUAAUUCGAAAGCAACGCGAAAAACCUUACCAGGUCUUGACAUCCUCUGACAACCCUAGAGAAAGGGCUUCUCCUUCGGGAGCAGAAUGACAGGUGGUGCAUGGAUGUCGUCAACUCGUGACGUGAGAAGUUGGGUUAAAUUCCGCAAACGAGCGCAAACCCUUGAUCUUAGUUGGCCAUCAUUAAAGUUGGGCCCUCUAAAGGUGGCUGCCGGUGACAAAACCGGAGGAAAGGUGGGGAAGGCGUCAAAUCAUCCUGCCCCUUAUGGCCUGGGGUACCCCCGUGGUUCAAAGGGCGGUACAAAAAAGCUGCAAAGGCCGCGAAGGUGGAGGUAAUUUCAAAAAAACCGUUUUCAGUUUGGGUUGUUGGGUGCAAACUUGCCUACAAGAAAGCUGGAAUCGCUUGAAAUCGCGGAUCAAGCCUGCCGCGGUAAAAUCGUUUCCGGGCCUUGUUCCCCCCGGCCGUCCCCCCCCGAAAGUUUGAAACCCCCCAAAGUUCAAAGGGGAAACCUUUUUGAAGCCAAGCCGCCUAAAAGGUGGACCACAGUAGGUUGGGGAGAACGUCAUUAAAAAAGU
rnacentral:rRNA from 1 species